AAAAAGACAAAGUUAAGUGCAGGGGUGUCAAAACCAGCUCCUGGAGGACUAACGUCCUGGAGAGCUUAGCUCCAAAUCACUUUAACACACCUGACUGAAAGUUGCCAGUACAGAUCCUGAAGACAUUGAUUAGCUGUUUCAGCUUUAAUUAGGUUUGGGGCUAAACUCUGCAAGACAAAUGUCCUCCGGGAGCAGGAUUGGACACUUCUGACCAGGAAGGGGCGCUGUCUUAUUAUUAGAAGGUUGGCUAUCCUAGAACAUCCUGUCUCGAGGACUGGGAUAAGUGCUUUCAAUCUGAGACAUUCAGGUGUUAUAAAGCUACCCUUUCUAUCACACAAAAUAACUGUUUUGAUUUAAAUUCUAUUCAUCAAAAGUAAUAAAUGCAGUAUCGAGGAACUGUGCAGCCAUGAUCAGACAUAAUUAUGCUAAUCUCUUUUAUUCCCACCCUCUCUUUCUCCCCUUUUCUUUUUCUACCCCACUCGUCACCUCACUUUCGGUCUGUAAGAAGCCAUCAAGCGGAGUUGAGAGGAAAUGGUACUGAAGGUCAGGAGUAGGGAAGAAAUGUCCUUUGGGUUCAGAGCACUGCAGUUUGAUCUAUCAAAGAGGCAUGGACAGAACCUUUCUGAGAUUGCAGAUGUGGGGACAGAAGAGCGGAAUGUGGGGGAAGCCAUACUCGAUGAACAUUCAAAGUGACCUAGUGAAAACUGAGGGAAAAGAAAAGACCAAACACUGAACCCAGCGAAUUCCAGUGGUGAGGAAUUGGAGUCUUUUCAAAUGACUUGGUAAGAGUUUUUAACCAGGUAACAUAUACACCAGAAAGCAAACAAAUCCAGAAGUAUUAGUAAAAAGUGAUAUGGUUUCAGAAACAGUGUCCAAUCCUGCUUCUGACGCACCAGUAUCUUGCAUAUUUUAGCUCCAAUCCUUUGAAACAAACCUGAAGCAUUUAAUCAAGGUCUUCAGGAAUGCUAGAAACUAGGCAGGUGUGUUGGGACAGGUUAAAGAAAAACUCUGCAAGACUUUGGCCCUCCAGAAGCAGGAUUAAACACCACCACAAUGUUUUACGGCAAGGAAAGUGGUUUUAUUUGAUUUGUGAAAUGUUUGUAACUUGAAUUUGAUACGGGCCAACUAGGUUUUUAAUUUCUUUGAUUGCAGCUUGUUCCAAAGCUUUAGCUUUGAAAGGGAC
ensembl:lncRNA